UUUUGGCUUUUUCGGAGAUGUAACACAAACUUGUCCUUCUCUUCACAGAUCCGGGGCUUUUUGUCAAGGUUUGACAACGUCCUGCCGGCCAGUCUCGCCUUCGACAAAUGCACAGCCUGCUCCGAAAUCGUGCUGGACCACUACGAGAAGGAGGGCUUCUCCUUCCUGUCCAAGGUGUUCAACUCCUCCCACUCCUUCCUGGAGGACCUGACAGGCCUGACACUGCUGCACCAGGAGACCCAGGCGGCGGAGAUCUGGGACAUGAGUGACGAUGAAAGCAUCUGAGCGCGUGAAACGGACGGAGGUCUGAAAGGACGUGGAACAAAGUCUUUCUACGGGCCUGGCCGAGACUCCAUCCUGAAUCAGGCCUGGCUUUAACUCCGUUCUCCCUGGAAGGCCGAGGGACGGGCGGUGGUCGUUCCCCUGCAGGACACUGUCCUCUCCUAGAGGGGUCCUCCCACAGAGUGCUCACUAGUAUGGGCUUUCACAACUCUGGAAGUCUACCGGGUUCAUCAGAGUGAUUUAUGAAUCUCUCUGAAUGAAAAGGAAGGUUCCGCACAUGUGGCUUUAUAUCUGGUCGUAUUGUCUUAUUAGGGGUCCGUUUUUUUCCUGUUUUCCUGCAGUGUAAAUUAACUCAUGGACGCUCGUUUGGGAAACCAGUUCACCUUGUUCUGAAGGGAAAUGUGUGCUAAUCAGAAAUCCUCUAGUGUUUACAGUAUGGCAUUGUUUUAGCUUCAGUGGUGUUUCUAAGGGGUAUGAGUUAAGAAAGCUCUGUGACAUCAGGACCUUUUUCUAGGCAUAAUUCAAAGACCCCGACCCUCCAAACCCAUCCGCUGGCUCUGUGUGACACACCUUAACUCGAUUGGCUUCCGUCCUCCUCACCCCAGCUGUUACGGUGUUUCCCUCUGGUUUCAUCGUCGUGCAAACGGCUCGACUUAAUAGUUACAGUAUUUACCUACUCAUGAGUGUUCUAGAAUCUCAUGGAUGUGAGAAAUCAUUCUGAUGUAAAGCAUGUGCAAGGCACUCAUUUGCCUCAACUGUUUUGUAACGCUGUCAAGCAUAAACGACCUAUAUAUAUAUACUGUACAAUGUUCUGUUCUCACAUUGUAUUAAAUGUAAACCAAUCACUUGACAGUUUCCUGUCUGGUUUUCCUCCCA